rnacentral:rRNA from 1 species
UACGUAGGGGGCAAGCGUUGUCCGGAAUCAUUGGGCGUAAAGAGCGUGUAGGCGGCCAGAUAAGUCCGCUGUGAAAACUCGAGGCUCAACUUCGAGCUGUCGGUGGAAACUAUUUGGCUAGAGUCCGGAAGAGGAGAGUGGAAUUCCUGGUGUAGCGGUGAAAUGCGCAGAUAUCAGGAAGAACACCCGUGGCGAAGGCGGCUCGCUGGGACGUUACUGACACUAAGGCGCGAAAGCGUGGGGAGCGAACAGG